rfam:Glossina morsitans morsitans, isolate Yale, WGS project CCAG01000000 data, contig: ctg10000260
GGGGGUAGUUUUUAGUACGUAAGCGCCAUGGAUGGCGAAUGGUGCAUGCUGCUACUAAGAACCAGCAGUAUCUUUUGAAAAUUUUCCACCUCC